CGCGUAGGCGGCUUGGCAAGUCAGAUGUGAAAGCCCCGGGCUUAACCCGGGAAUUGCAUCUGAAACUGCUUUGCUUGAGUCCUGGAGGGGGUAGUGGAAUUCCCAGUGUAGCGGUGAAAUGCGUAGAUAUUGGGAGGAACACCUGCGGCGAAAGCGGCUACCUGGACAGUGACUGACGCUGAGGCGCGAAAGCUAGGGGAGCGAACG
rnacentral:rRNA from 1 species